rnacentral:rRNA from 1 species
UUAAGCGACCAAGCGUACACGGUGGAUGCCCUGGCAGUCAGAGGCGAUGAAGGACGUGCUAAUCUGCGAUAAGCGCCGGUAAGGUGAUAUGAACCGUUAUAACCGGCGAUUUCCGAAUGGGGAAACCCAGUGUGAUUCGUCACACUAUCAUUAACUGAAUCCAUAGGUUAAUGAAGCGAACCGGGGGAACUGAAACAUCUAAGUACCCCGAGGAAAAGAAAUCAACCGAGAUUCCCCCAGUAGCGGCGAGCGAACGGGGAGGAGCCCAGAGCCUGAAUCAGCAUGUGUGUUAGUGGAAGCGUCUGGAAAGGCGCGCGAUACAGGGUGACAGCCCCGUACACAAAAGCGCAUGUGCUGUGAGCUCGAUGAGUAGGGCGGGACACGUGGUAUCCUGUCUGAAUAUGGGGGGACCAUCCUCCAAGGCUAAAUACUCCUGACUGACCGAUAGUGAACCAGUACCGUGAGGGAAAGGCGAAAAGAACCCCGGCGAGGGGAGUGAAACAGAACCUGAAACCGUGUACGUACAAGCAGUGGGAGCACAGGUUUACCUGUGUGACUGCGUACCUUUUGUAUAAUGGGUCAGCGACUUAUAUUCUGUAGCAAGGUUAACCGCAUAGGGGAGCCGAAGGGAAACCGAGUCUUAACCGGGCGUUAAGUUGCAGGGUAUAGACCCGAAACCCGGUGAUCUAGCCAUGGGCAGGUUGAAGGUUGGGUAACACUAACUGGAGGACCGAACCGACUAAUGUUGAAAAAUUAGCGGAUGACCUGUGGCUGGGGGUGAAAGGCCAAUCAAACCGGGAGAUAGCUGGUUCUCCCCGAAAGCUAUUUAGGUAGCGCCUCGUGAACUCAUCUCCGGGGGUAGAGCACUGUUUCGGCUAGGGGGUCAUCCCGACUUACCAACCCGAUGCAAACUGCGAAUACCGGAGAAUGUUAUCACGGGAGACACACGGCGGGUGCUAACGUCCGUCGUGAAGAGGGAAACAACCCAGACCGCCAGCUAAGGUCCCAAAGUCAUGGUUAAGUGGGAAACGAUGUGGGAAGGCCCAGACAGCCAGGAUGUUGGCUUAGAAGCAGCCAUCAUUUAAAGAAAGCGUAAUAGCUCACUGGUCGAGUCGGCCUGCGCGGAAGAUGUAACGGGGCUAAACCAUGCACCGAAGCUGCGGCAGCGACGCUUAUGCGUUGUUGGGUAGGGGAGCGUUCUGUAAGCCGUUGAAGGUGGCCUGUGAGGGUUGCUGGAGGUAUCAGAAGUGCGAAUGCUGACAUAAGUAACGAUAAAGCGGGUGAAAAGCCCGCUCGCCGGAAGACCAAGGGUUCCUGUCCAACGUUAAUCGGGGCAGGGUGAGUCGACCCCUAAGGCGAGGCCGAAAGGCGUAGUCGAUGGGAAACGGGUUAAUAUUCCCGUACUUGGUGUUACUGCGAAGGGGGGACGGAGAAGGCUAUGUUGGCCGGGCGACGGUUGUCCCGGUUUAAGCGUGUAGGUGUGUGUUCCAGGUAAAUCCGGUUCACUUUAACACUGAGGCGUGAUGACGAGGCACUACGGUGCUGAAGCAACAAAUGCCCUGCUUCCAGGAAAAGCCUCUAAGCAUCAGGUAACAUCAAAUCGUACCCCAAACCGACACAGGUGGUCAGGUAGAGAAUACCAAGGCGCUUGAGAGAACUCGGGUGAAGGAACUAGGCAAAAUGGUGCCGUAACUUCGGGAGAAGGCACGCUGACACGUAGGUGAAGUGAUUUACUCAUGGAGCUGAAGUCAGUCGAAGAUACCAGCUGGCUGCAACUGUUUAUUAAAAACACAGCACUGUGCAAACACGAAAGUGGACGUAUACGGUGUGACGCCUGCCCGGUGCCGGAAGGUUAAUUGAUGGGGUCAGCGCAAGCGAAGCUCCUGAUCGAAGCCCCGGUAAACGGCGGCCGUAACUAUAACGGUCCUAAGGUAGCGAAAUUCCUUGUCGGGUAAGUUCCGACCUGCACGAAUGGCGUAAUGAUGGCCAGGCUGUCUCCACCCGAGACUCAGUGAAAUUGAACUCGCUGUGAAGAUGCAGUGUACCCGCGGCAAGACGGAAAGACCCCGUGAACCUUUACUAUAGCUUGACACUGAACAUUGAGCCUUGAUGUGUAGGAUAGGUGGGAGGCUUUGAAGCGUGGACGCCAGUCUGCGUGGAGCCAACCUUGAAAUACCACCCUUUAAUGUUUGAUGUUCUAACGUGGACCCGUUACCCGGGUUGCGGACAGUGUCUGGUGGGUAGUUUGACUGGGGCGGUCUCCUCCUAAAGAGUAACGGAGGAGCACGAAGGUUGGCUAAUCCUGGUCGGACAUCAGGAGGUUAGUGCAAUGGCAUAAGCCAGCUUGACUGCGAGCGUGACGGCGCGAGCAGGUGCGAAAGCAGGUCAUAGUGAUCCGGUGGUUCUGAAUGGAAGGGCCAUCGCUCAACGGAUAAAAGGUACUCCGGGGAUAACAGGCUGAUACCGCCCAAGAGUUCAUAUCGACGGCGGUGUUUGGCACCUCGAUGUCGGCUCAUCACAUCCUGGGGCUGAAGUAGGUCCCAAGGGUAUGGCUGUUCGCCAUUUAAAGUGGUACGCGAGCUGGGUUUAGAACGUCGUGAGACAGUUCGGUCCCUAUCUGCCGUGGGCGCUGGAGAACUGAGGGGGGCUGCUCCUAGUACGAGAGGACCGGAGUGGACGCAUCACUGGUGUUCGGGUUGUCAUGCCAAUGGCACUGCCCGGUAGCUAAAUGCGGAAGAGAUAAGUGCUGAAAGCAUCUAAGCACGAAACUUGCCCCGAGAUGAGUUCUCCCUGAGACUUAGAGUCUCCUGAAGGAACGUUGAAGACGACGACGUUGAUAGGCCGGGUGUGUAAGCGCAGCGAUGCGUUGAGCUAACCGGUACUAAUGAACCGUGAGGCUUAACCUU